UCUCUCUCGCUCUGUCUCUCUCUCUUGCUAUCUCUCUCUCUCUCACUCUCUCUGUCUCUCUCUCUCAGGAUUGUGGGUAGUGGGAGGAGUCGAGAGUUUUGCGGCACACUUUUGAGAGUUUGUUACUUUUAAUCAAUUUCUUAGUUCUUUUUUAAGAUUCAUGUAAAAAAAAAAAAAAGAUUAAUCUUAGACAUAAAACUUCUUUGAGCGCCGACUUCGGUCGGAAAACUUUGACAAAUGGGGUGAAGGGGAGAUUUCUCACGCUUGACUCUGAGACAUGGAUUUAAACGUACACCUGAUGACUCCGUAUCUGUGGAAGAUGUGCUGGUUGCAGUCAGUGAACAGAUGUGUUGUUAUCUCUAGCAUCCCUGCUGGUGCCUCUGCAAAUUACACCUGCAACAUGAGGGGUCGUCAUGUGAACAUCAUCAUUCCCAAUGUUAUCCAGGCUCUCACGCUCUGUGAAGUGGAAGUCUAUGGGGUUCCAGGCUACACUUUUAUAUCCAGUUCACAAUUUCAUAUACAUUUGAAGUCAAAUUAAGUUUUACAACAGCUGCUAAAUAUCAACAUUGCUAAUUUUUUUUAGUGCCUGUUACUAAGAGGGCAUUUCUGAGAUUGAAGUUUAACAUCAACGAUAUCUACCAAUGCCCAGCCUUCAGUGCGUCAGAUCUGUUGGACUACAGAACCAGAGGUGGAAAAUGAAACUUAAAAAACGGUAGGAAAUAUCAGUACUACUACUGCAAUAAUAAUAAUAAUAAUAAUAAUAAUAAUAAUAAUAAUACAACUACUUCUACUGCUAAUAAUAAUAGUAAUAUAGCGAUAAGAGGCAAUCUGUCCAAACACUCCCUGCAUAUAGCACUCCCAGUGGCCAGUUCUUGUCAAGAUUCAUAGAACAAUAAAGAGACCAUAUGUGAACAUACUUAUGCAUAUCACAUUUUGUGAUGAUGGCUCAAUGCUAGUUGUGUAACCUACCUGCUGAAAGCUGACUGGCAGAAGGCAGACAUUUUUGAAGUAAUUCAGUUACAGAUUAGCAGAAAGUGCACAGCAAAUUCUGCUCAAUUGGCAUUUUGGUUCCUGAGAAACAGCUAUUUGAACUUAACGCUGACCCUUAUAAACAUGAACAGCACGCCCCAGGUAGCCAAUUUGAGCGAGAUUGCAUUGGAUACUAGGAGGUCCAUCCCUGAACUUUCUAUUCAAGUUUUGUGGCAAUAACCUAAUGGGAAACUUUUCAAUUAUCUGAUAUCUGAUUGGCCAAUGACAGGCAUGUUUUUUUUCAGUAAUUAAGUCAUCAUGAGAAUCUAUUAUAGAUUAGCACAUACGGUAUAUCUACCAUAUCAAAUUUCAGCUUGAUCAGACAUACAGUUCCUCAUAAACAGCUAUCUGAUCUUAGCUCUGCUCCAUUUGUAUGACCAAAUUUGGCACAUAGCAAAAAAUGCUAAACUAACUUUUGUCAACUAGUGCUAGGAUGUUUGGCCUAGCUUCAGAAAUUUGGUGACAGUCCUCAUUAAUUAAUUUUUGGUGUGAUGCUCAAUAAUUAUCAAAAACAUGUUGACAUUUGUAAACAGCAACAUCUCACUUUCCUGGGUAAUGGGAGGAAGUACUACAACCCCAAUUCCAAAAAAGUUGGGACGUUGUGAAAAAUGUAAAUAAAAACAGAAUGCAAUGAUUUGCAAUCUCAUAAACCCAUAUGUUAUUCACGGUAGAACAUAAAAAACAAAUCAAAUGUGUAAACUGAGGAAAUGUAGCAUUUAAAGGAAAAAAAUAGGUAACUUUGAAUUUAUGGGCGCAACACGUCUCAAAAUAAUUUGGACGGGGCAACAGAAGGUUGGAACAGUAAGUGUUACUAAAAAGAAACAGCUGGAGGAACAUUGCGCUACUAAUUAUGUUAACUGGCAACAGGUCAGUAACAUGAUUGGGUAUAAAAAGUGUAUCUUAGAGAGGCAGACUCUUUCAGAAGUAAAGAUGGGCCUCUGUACACCAAUCUGCGAAAAACUACAACUACAAUUUGUGGAACAAUUUCAGAAUAAUGCUCCUCAAUGUAAAAUUGUGAAGGCUAUGACUAUCUCAUCAUCUACAGCACAUCAUAUCAUGAAAAAAUUCAGAAUCUGGAGAAAUCUGUGGCCCGAGUCUCUUUCCAUAAAUCUUAAAUAAACACCUCCUUAUAGAUAGCUUCACCAUAUCAACGACUAAAAGUUUUUAUUAAAGUAGUAUAGCACAAAUCUGUUUAUUAUUAGACUUUGAUUAUGUGGAAUGUUUGCCAGAGAAGUCUCUGUGAAUGAUUUGCUAUCAUAGAAAGGAUAACUUAUUACAAUGAGCACAUUAAUAUAAACCUGAGAUAUGAAUUGCAACCUUCAGACCUUCUGACCUAUCAGAUUCCAGAGUGCAACAGC